rnacentral:rRNA from 1 species
AUUGAACGCUGGCGGCAUGCCAUACACAUGCAAGUCGAACGGCAGCACGGGAGCAAUCCUGGUGGCGAGUGGCGAACGGGUGAGUAAUAUAUCGGAACGUGCCCAGUCGUGGGGGAUAACGUAGCGAAAGCUACGCUAAUACCGCAUACGAUCUAUGGAUGAAAGCGGGGGAUCGCAAGACCUCGCGCGAUUGGAGCGGCCGAUAUCAGAUUAGGUAGUUGGUGAGGUAAAGGCUCACCAAGCCGACGAUCUGUAGCUGGUCUGAGAGGACGACCAGCCACACUGGGACUGAGACACGGCCCAGACUCCUACGGGAGGCAGCAGUGGGGAAUUUUGGUCAAUGGGCGCAAGCCUGAUCCAGCAAUGCCGCGUGCAGGAUGAAGGCCUUCGGGUUGUAAACUGCUUUUGUACGGAACGAAACGGCGAGCUCUAAUACAGUUUGCUAAUGACGGUACCGUAAGAAUAAGCACCGGCUAACUACGUGCCAGCCGCCGCUGUAA